rnacentral:misc_RNA from 1 species
AAUUAAUUAACAUGGAUACCAUCGAUCUUUUUCUCUAUCUUUUUCUCUCUGUUUUCACCUUUUAUCUCCUCCGGUGUAUGGCGGCGGCCCAUCUUCGCGGGCGUAAAACUCGACUCCCGCCGGGAACCCUUGGCCUCCCGUUUAUCGGAGAAACCCUCCAGUUAAUUUCUGCGUACAAAACGGAAAAUCCUGAACCGUUCAUCGAUGACCGUGUUUCAAAAUACGGCAGCAUUUUCA